AGUGGAUCAAUGAUGUUUAAAUACUGCGUUAUCUUCCUGAAAAAAUUUCUCCAAUGAGAAAUUUUGUUAGAUGACAAAAUGCCUACCGAGGUCCUUU